rnacentral:rRNA from 1 species
UACGAGGGGGGCAAAUGUUGUUCGGAAUCACUGGGCGUAAAGGGAGCGUAGGCGGGUUCUUAAGUUAGGUGUUUAAUCCCGGGGCCCAACCCCGGACCGGCACUUAAAACUGGGAAUCUUGAGUAGUGGAGAGGUCAGUGGAAUUGGGGGUGUAGCGGUGGAAUGCGUAGAGAUCCCCAAGAACACCAGUUGCGAAGGCGGCUGACUGGACACAUAUUGACGCUGAGGCUCGAAAGCAUGGGGAGCAAACAGG